GGUGGGCAGGACCCCGCCGCGCGUGGGGGUCGCCGGGCUGCCUGGCGCGUGGGGUCGAGGCUGAGUGCCACUCCGUGGUCCCUGAGUGCACGCCCCCAGUACUGGCCCUGCUACAAGUAAUUCCCUUCCAUCCGUUCCUCGCACGGGUGCCGAACAGCCGCGCGAGUUGGGAAGGACGGAGAGCUGCUGUGCAGUCUUCGCGGCUGGACGCCCUGUGGCCGGGACCCCGCGGCUGCAGCCCCUGGAGCUUAGGGUGAAGCAUGAAUCUGCACAUGGGGAGGCUUCAGAGGACAACUGAGACAAGAAGCAGGAAGCUGAGAAAGGAGGACACCUCCCACACACACAUCUAGCAAAAGCUGGACAUUUCUGGUCAGUCAUCCUUAUGCAAAGACUUUCUGGAAGGAGCAGUUAUUCUUGGUAAGAAAUGAUUCAUGGCACCUGUCACAGUCCUAGGUAGUGACAGACACCAGCCUGCACUGUAGCUGAAAACCCCUGAGAAGCCACAGAUGUGCAGUCUUCCCAGCUUGACUACAUGCCCAAGUCUUCUGAACCUUAGUUUCCCAACCUAGGAAAUAAAAAUUGUGCCCUUUACCCCUCAUGAACCUUAUUGGGGUCUUAUAAGAUUGCUCCUGGUUGCCAUUUGGCCCACAGAUGGGUUUAGUUUGGUGGACAGUGUCCCGAAAGACUUACAAAUUCAGAUCUGACUUGUUCAUUUGUGUAGGGGAGAGUUGGUGGCACACAUCCUCUCUGUCACUGUAAGUAUGUUCCAAAUGUCACAUUAGGUCCACUGGCACGUGUAAGCCCUGUCUGGCAUUUGCCUGGUCCCUGCAGGCAUUUGGGUUGGCAGUAAACUUUCUUUUCUAACAGAUUUCUGGAAAUGUUUACAUGUAGCAUAUAAUAGAAUAAUAGAACCACAGAACUUCCACAGUAAAGCCUUCCUUCUUUUAUGUUCCAAAAGCUAAAAUGUACUAACAACCUCCAAAAGGCACUAUGACAUUGGAGUUUAAACUUUGUGGAGCAGGACUCAAAGCUGGACUUAGCUGCUUGCUAACUUUGACCUUGAGUGAAGAGUUAGCAGAUGAUUUAAAGUGUAAAGUAGAAAGAAUUCAUGCUGGUUAGCCCAUUAAAUACCCGUUAAUUAAGCUCUCCAAAAACGCCAUUCAAAAAUGUAUAUGAUAAUCAAAUAUUUAUUGCAAUGUUUCUUAAAAUAGUGAAAAAUUAGAAAACAUUAUAGGGGGCUAGUGUUAAAUCAUGGUGUAACCAGAAAUGAAACAUUAUGCAACCAUAAAAAGGAGUUCUGAAGAGUAGUUCCCGGCAUGAUAUAAUGUGAAAAAAAGCAAAAUACGAAAUUGUGCAAUUCUAAUUUUGCAAAAACUUUCAGCGUACACGACUAUCACUGUAUAAAGUCACAAAGUAGGAAUGGUGAUUGUAUCUUGGAGUGAUGAGAUUAUAAGUGAUUUUUAAUUUUCUUCACUAUGCUUUACUGCAAUUAAACAUUUACAAUUCAAUUUUAUUUAACAAAAAUAUAUAAAACUUCUCAAAUGGAGUAACUUCAGUACCAGACAUCCUCAACCUGACUGCUCUGGAGGUUAUUGUGCAGAGCAAUCUUUGACCAUAUGGUCACAGAUCCAGAAGCCAGACGUCUGUGGGGCUUUGCUCCUGAGACUGUGACCUUUGAUUCCUGCACUCCUCCUCUUGCCAUCUGACGCCGGUCUGCGCCUGUGACUGAGUGAAAAUCGUCAUAACUGUACUCGGAGGUUAACUCUGGCAUGACUGGGAUGGAAUCCCAGGCAACAUGCUGGAGGCAGGAAAGAAGGCCAGCCGGCAAGUCAGAACCAAACACCCUGGACGGCACCUUUCCUUACAAAUGCGGUUCACAGGACCCUUGGGGAUCCUCUGCGCACACUGAGGCAAGCAGCAAUGGAAGAAAUUAUCUUCCACUCCCUUCUUGUUGAAAAUGUCUGUUUUCCAGAAAUGAAUUACAGUAAUAGAUUAUGAAAAUUGUUUCCAUUGCCUACAUAACACAGCAGG
rnacentral:lncRNA from 10 species